ensembl:lncRNA DARS1-AS1 DARS1 antisense RNA 1
ACUUCCGGGGCGGCUGGUUCUUCCCGUCCUCCCCACCCCGGGGACACGCUUCUAGUAGGCCAAACUCCCAGGUGACCCCCGCAAGAAACGCGGUCCGGAGAGGGUCUGGCCCCACUGCUGGGGCAAGGGCUCUAGGCGCCCGGACCCCACGCCCGCAGCCUGCGGAGAACGUGCCGACAAGGACCUGUAGGGCCCCACUCCCCCUCCUCCCUCCCUCGGCGCAGCCCGGCCCAGGGGUCUGUCCUCCCAGGCCCAGGAAAGGAGGAAACCCACUUCCGCCGCGUCCAUGAUCUCCCGCGGCUUCUCCUGACUCUUGCGGCUGGCGCUGGCGCUGGGCAUCGGGACACGGAACUGGGCAGUGGACACCACCCUCCCUCGCAGGCUUCCAAAGUAAUUUGAAGGCCUUCCCUGACUUAAAGUGGAUGCUGCUUUGGAAAGCACUGGAAAAAUGGAUCCUGUCUUUCUUAGCCAAGGACUGGUCUCUUUUCUCCAAUGUGUCCCUAACAGAGUGGUGAGGCUGGCUCUUCCCACCAGUACAGACAUGGAAUAAACUUGACAAGUGCUAAAGAUGCUCUUUGAUUUUUGUGUGGCAUGAGACCUCAGGCUGAAACUUCUCAUCUGAGCCAUUGAAGGGAGCCUCUCAUCUCUCCACCGAGAGGGGAGACCAGAAUGGCUCCUUCAGGCACAUUCUGUUGGGCUUCCCUCUACCUCCCCACUCUGCUGCUUCCCCGCUCUUUUUGAAUUUCUCCCUGUUGAGGAGAGGGAAGACCAGCUAGGAGCUCUGUUUCUGGCAGGAAUCUGACACCACUUACUCCUUGGGUAGAAACUCCCCCAAGUCUGAACUAUGUGAUUGCCUGAGCCCUGCUUCUUGUUCAUUAAGACUGCUCCUCUGAAACGGAAUUGAUGAAUUUUUAGUGGCUAUUAGAAGCAUUUGGGAUCCAUAGGCAUCAGGGUUUGAUGCAUGGCCCUCAUCUCUGUGGGCUCCUGUGCAAUGAUUCUCAUCUGUCUUAGUUAGAAAGUGAAUUAAUCUUGACCUUGGCCUCAGGGGUGUGGUUCUCUGCCCUCUUACACAUCUUCAAUUCGCUUCUUUAUCAGAAGCACUUGUUUUAGGCCCAGGCUCCCCCAAUUUUAAUGACAUUUAGACAUUUGUCUUUAAGUUACAUUGCUUUGAUUUUAAUCAAAAUCUAUAUUUCUAGUAUUAUAUGUUUCCAGAAAGUUCUCAUUCUGGAUUGUAAUUUAAUUACAUGGAUCAUUAAAGCUUUGAAGGAUGCUAAUGGGCAGAAAAAAGAGACUUAACAAAACGAAAGUUAUUAUUAGGAAUUACAAAUCACUUAACAUUUCAACAUCACUCGUCGGAUGUGGGCAUUUUGUUGAAAGAGACCUUGUUUUGAACAGUGACAGUGCAGAAGACCUAUGGAAGAAACAAGCUUCCAACUUGAUUUCUAUUGUUAUGCAUGCAUAGCAAAUUAUUAAUUCUAUUCUAAUAGGGUAAUAGAUUUAGAAAUACUAUUAGCAGAAAACUUGAUGUAUUAGGCAAUACUACAUACCACAUUAGUCUAACCGCUCAACUGUAAUUUUUCAUCCAUACUUUCUUGGGAUGUAAAUAAAAUUGAUAUUAUACAAUGAAAAUAAAA